rnacentral:rRNA from 1 species
UUAUAGUUGCGCAGGCACUUUGGUGACUCUAGAGAACCUCAGGCCAAUCGCACGUCCCCGUGACGGUGACUUUGCAUUCGGAUGUCUGCUCUAUCAACUUUCGAUGCCACUUUCUGCACCAACCAUGGUGACCAUGGGUAACGGGGAAUCAGGGUUCGAUUCCGGAGAGGCAGCCUGAGAAACGGCUACCACAUCCAAGGAAGGCAGCCGGUGCGCAAAUUACCCACUCCAGACGCGGAGAGGUAGUGACGA